rnacentral:rRNA from 1 species
CCUACGGGUGGCAGUGGGGAAUAUUGGACAAUGGGCGAAAGCCUGAUCCAGCCAUGCCGCGUGUGUGAAGAAGGCCUUCGGGUUGUAAAGCACUUUCAGUGGGGAAGAAAGCCUUGGGGCUAAUACCCUCGAGGAAGGACAUCACCCACAGAAGAAGCACCGGCUAACUCCGUGCCAGCAGCCGCGGUAAUACGGAGGGUGCGAGCGUUAAUCGGAAUUACUGGGCGUAAAGCGCGCGUAGGCGGUCUGAUAAGCCGGUUGUGAAAGCCCCGGGCUCAACCUGGGAACGGCAUCCGGAACGGUAGGGCUGGAGUGGAGGAGAGGAGGGGAAAAUCCCGGGGGUAGGGGGGAAGUGCGAGAGGAUGGGGAGGAAUAGCGGUGGGAAGGGGGGCUUUGGGGACUGACAUAGACGCUGGGGUGCAAAGGCGGGGGUAGCAAACGAGAUGAGAUACCUGGUAGUC